GUUUAUUUGGUCUAAGCGUCCGUAGCCGGUUUGAUAAAUUUCUUGUGAAAUUGUUUGGCUUAACCAAACAGCGUGCAAGAAAGACUGUCAAACUUGAGACCGGGAGAAGAUGAAGGUAUUUUGAGGGGAGCGGUAAAAUGCAAUAAUCCUCAGAGGACCACCAAUGGCGAAGGCAUUUGUCUAGAACGGGUCUGACGGUCAGGGACGAAAGCUAGGGGAGCAAAACGGAUUAGAUACCCGAGUAGUCCUAGCCGUAAACGCUGCGAGUUAGGUGGUGCAUAUUCUUCGUGGAUAUGCAACGCCCAAGCGAAGGUGUUAAACUCGCCACCUGGGAAGUAUAGUCGCAAGGCCGAAACUUAAAGGAAUUGGCGGGGGAGCACAA
rnacentral:rRNA from 1 species